rnacentral:rRNA from 1 species
AGUGAACGCUGGCGGUAGGCCUAACACAUGCAAGUCGAACGGCAGCACAGUAAGAUCUUGCUCUUACGGGUGGCGAGUGGCGGACGGGUGAGGAAUACAUCGGAAUCUACUUUUUCGUGGGGGAUAACGUAGGGAAACUUACGCUAAUACCGCAUACGACCUACGGGUGAAAGCAGGGGAUCUUCGGACCUUGCGCGAUUGAAUGAGCCGAUGUCGUAUUAGCUAGUUGGCUGGGUAAAGGCCCACCAAGGCGACGAUCCGUAGCUGGUCUGAGAGGAUGAUCAGCCACACUGGAACUGAGACACGGUCCAGACUCCUACGGGAGGCAGCAGUGGGGAAUAUUGGCCAAUGGGCGCAAGCCUGAUCCAGCCAUGCCGCGUGGGUGAAGAAGGCCUUCGGGUUGUAAAGCCCUUUUGUUGGGAAAGAACAGCAGCGGGUUUAUCCCCCGCUGUUCUGACGGUACCCAAAGAGUAAGCACCGGCUAACUUCGUG